AAACCGUUCGGGGGUAAACGGACAGAGCCCGUGAAUCCGGGCGGCGGAAUUCAGAGUCGAUGGCGGCAACGUCGUCGGUUCGAUAUUUCCGUCGCCGAUACGGACGUCGCGACCCGUUUGGUGUUGGUCUCAGGAGACGUGUGUUACGUUCGUUGACGCGUUGUCCGCUUCGGUGGGCACGUGUUGCGAGUACGCGUUCGUGUUCCGGCCAGCUCGCCAGACGGUACGUUAAAGGUGGCCGUGACGGUCGUUCGCCUCACGGCGAUCAGCGCUGUUCACGGUACCGGUUUGCGACGAAUCUUCGGGCCUCUUUCCGA
rnacentral:rRNA from 1 species